ACGAACGCUGGCGGCGUGCUUAACACAUGCAAGUCGAGCGGUAAGGCCCUUCGGGGUACACGAGCGGCGAACGGGUGAGUAACACGUGAGCAACCUGCCCCUGACUCCGGGAUAAGCGGUGGAAACGCCGUCUAAUACCGGAUACGACCCGCCACCUCAUGGUGGAGGGUGGAAAGUUUUAUCGGUCAGGGAUGGGCUCGCGGCCUAUCAGCUUGUUGGUGGGGUAACGGCCUACCAAGGCGAUUACGGGUAGCCGGCCUGAGAGGGCGACCGGCCACACUGGGACUGAGACACGGCCCAGACUCCUGCGGGAGGCAGCAGUGGGGAAUAUUGCAGCAAUGGGCGAAAGCCUGAUGCAGCGACGCCGCGUGGGGGAUGACGGCCUUCGGGUUGUAAACCUCUUUUACCACCAACGCAGGCUCCACGUUCUCGUGGGGUUGACGGUAGGUGGGGAAUAAGGACCGGCUAACUACGUGCCAGCAGCCGCGGUAAUACGUAGGGUCCGAGCGUUGUCCGGAAUUAUUGGGCGUAAAGAGCUCGUAGGCGGCAUGUCGCGUCUGCUGUGAAAGACCGGGGCUUAACUCCGGUUCUGCAGUGGAUACGGGCAUGCUAGAGGUAGGUAGGGGAGACUGGAAUUCCUGGUGUAGCGGUGAAAUGCGCAGAUAUCAGGAGGAACACCGGUGGCGAAGGCGGGUCUCUGGGCCUUACCUGACGCUGAGGAGCGAAAGCAUGGGGAGCGAACAGGAUUAGAUACCCUGGUAGUCCAUGCCGUAAACGUUGGGCGCUAGGUGUGGGGACUUUCCACGGUUUCCGCGCCGUAGCUAACGCAUUAAGCGCCCCGCCUGGGGAGUACGGCCGCAAGGCUAAAACUCAAAGGAAUUGACGGGGGCCCGCACAAGCGGCGGAGCAUGUUGCUUAAUUCGACGCAACGCGAAGAACCUUACCAAGGUUUGACAUCACCCGUGGACCUGUAGAGAUACAGGGUCAUUUAGUUGGUGGGUGACAGGUGGUGCAUGGCUGUCGUCAGCUCGUGUCGUGAGAUGUUGGGUUAAGUCCCGCAACGAGCGCAACCCUUGUUCCAUGUUGCCAGCACGUAAUGGUGGGGACUCAUGGGAGACUGCCGGGGUCAACUCGGAGGAAGGUGGGGACGACGUCAAGUCAUCAUGCCCCUUAUGUCUUGGGCUGCAAACAUGCUACAAUGGCCGGUACAAUGGGCGUGCGAUACCGUAAGGUGGAGCGAAUCCCUUAAAGCCGGUCUCAGUUCGGAUUGGGGUCUGCAACUCGACCCCAUGAAGGUGGAGUCGCUAGUAAUCGCGGAUCAGCAACGCCGCGGUGAAUACGUUCCCGGGCCUUGUACACACCGCCCGUCACGUCAUGAAAGUCGGCAACACCCGAAACUUGUGGCCUAACCCUUCGGGGAGGGAAUGAGUGAAGGUGGGGCUGGCGAUUGGGACGAAGUCGUAACA
rnacentral:rRNA from 1 species